rnacentral:pre_miRNA from 1 species
GAUUUCAACUGAAAAACUCAUCAAUAACAAAGUCGUAUAACUCAUCAAGAUCUAUAACUUUUAUUUGGGUCAUUUCUUCAAUAACAAGUGAUUUGUAACAUUGUCCACAAAACGUACAUAUCUCUUAUAUAGUUUAUAAACUAUAAGAGAGAUAUGUAAAUUUUGUAAACAAUGUUACUAUUACUUUGUCCGAUGAAGAAAUGACCAAAAUAAAAGUUAUAGGUAUUGAUGAAUUAUACAACUUUGAUAUUGAUUAUUUUUACUAUUGAAAUC